AAACCAGAAUCACUGGGCCAUCCAGGAAUCGAAGCAGAACAUGAAGAAAUUCCAUGCAAACAGGGCUGUUAAAAGCCAACCCGCCAGAGAGGGCAGAACGGAGGAAGGACGAGAGGGUUCCACGUCCUGGAGGCAGAGCACCCACGGAAGUUUCUCAACACUUCUCGUUGAUUCAAGUGGAACACCUUGAAGAAAGGCCCUUCUGUUCCCCUACACGGUGGACAGCAGAGCUCUGAAAAUUAGAUGCUUCCCCAAACCCAGACUCUCUUGGAACAUUCUUCCCAUGUGGGUGGUGUGAACUGCGUGGCACUGUUGUCCUCGUUGGCAUACAUAGAUUUACACUCUCAGGGACGAGACUUCCAAGGCAACACCUAGGAUUUAGAGACUAUGUUGUCAGAGACAGGCAUGGAGGCAAUGUCCUGGUUCUCAUGUGGUCAAAAAGGUAGAUGAAGAGAAAACAUGGGCUCAGCAGCCCGGCCCUCUCCAGAGAAGCCACGGGUAGAGGCUCACCAACACCUGCCCCUCCCUCCAGGGUGUCGCCGGCUUUCAGAAUAAAGCCU